CUGUUUUAAAUUUUGUCUUGCGUUUAUCUAUAUUUCAAAACUCUCCAGUUUGUGAUAGCUCUCCCACUUCUUGUAGUGGUAACCAUAUAUCUUCACUCAACAUUUUCCGCAGUGUCCAAUUCGUCACCAGUCUUUUCUGUUUCUGAUUCUGACAUACUAACGAUGGGUUGAGAGUAAGAAAAAACAGAAAAAUUUAUUUUUGGUUUCAAUUUCGUACUCAGAGCCAUCGUUGAGCUCUGGGAACGAGAUUGGGUUUAUUUCAAACAGAAAAAAAUUGGUUCCAUUCAACGUGACACUUCCU